GGCGGUACAUUACACAAGUGAAUGAUUACAUUGGGUGGAUGGACUCUGAGCAGGAAACGUGUAAAAAUUGAGGAGAGGAGAGUUUGUGGGCUUUGGACAGAACAGAGAUAGCAGGGGAAAGAGGAGGUGAUUUACUGCAAUGGAUAGAGAAGCAGAGCCAGGUUUCUCUUGAGCCGGACAGAAAUGGCUCUAUAUGGGCCAGCAAUCUGCAACUUGCAAGCAUAAAUCAACCACUAAACAGGCAGCAGCUGUCGUCAUACAUGGCUCACGUCCUACACCCAAUUCCUGGGGUUACUUAUGGUCAUUACAUUUACCGAUAUAUGCCUGGGGUCACAGUGGCAAUAGAUUGAGAAGGUCAGUCCAGACAUAUCCAUGUCCAGUCACCACAGAUUCCAGCUCCUCCUGGGGUCUCCAUUGAGUAGGACAUGCCUUAUGCAGCUCUAUCAGGACCCAACCAUGGACAUCCAUGGAGAGAGAGAGGGGGCCACAUCAUGCUCACUGACUUUGAAGGUCACCAGACACCCGUGCUGCCAAGAUGUUUACAUUUCUGAGCUGAUAGAAGAGGGAGCAGCUCUAGGGCUGGAGAGCUGCUGGUGCAUGUCAUCUUUUAAGCAGAUGUAGGAAUGCCUCAACCUAUCCCCCCACCCCACACUGUCUCAGACAAUUUAGACUUCUAGAUUUGUUUGUUUGUUGACAUAUUUCAAUUUCAUUUUUCCUUCUG
ensembl:lncRNA